GUCCACGCCCUAAACGUUGUCCGCUAGCUAUGAGGAGUAUCGACCCUCUUCGUGGCGAAGCUAACGCAUUAAGCGGACCGCCUGGGUAGUACGAGCGCAAGCUUAAAACUCAAAGGAAUAGACGGGGGCUCGCACAAGCGGUGGAUCAUGGGGCUUAAUUCGUCGUUAAGCGAGGAACCUUACCAAGGCUAGAAACCAUACUGCACGCUCCGUGAAAGCGGAGAAGCCUUCGAGGGUGUAUGGCAGGUGAUGCAUGGCCGUCGU
rnacentral:rRNA from 1 species